UACGUAGGGUACUAGCGUUGUUCGGAUUUAUUGGGCGUAAAGGGCUUGUAGGUGGUUUGUCGCGUCUGUCGUGAAAUCCUGUGGCUUAACCAGGGGCUUGCGGUUGGGACGGGCUGGCUUGAGUGCGGUAGGGGAGAGUGGAAUUCCUGGUGUAGCGGUGGAAUGCGCAGAUAUCAGGAGGAACACCGGUGGCGAAGGCGGCUACCUGGGCCGGUACUGACGCUGAGGCGCGAAAGCGUGGGGAGCGAACAGG
rnacentral:rRNA from 1 species